UACGGGGGGGGCAAGCGUUGUUCGGAAUUACUGGGCGUAAAGGGCUCGUAGGCGGCCAACUAAGUCAGACGUGAAAUCCCUCGGCUUAACCGGGGAACUGCGUCUGAUACUGGAUGGCUAGAGGUUGGGAGAGGGAUGCGGAAUUCCAGGUGUAGCGGUGAAAUGCGUAGAUAUCUGGAGGAACACCGGUGGCGAAGGCGGGAUCCUGGGCCAGUACUGACGCUGAGGAGCGAAAGCGUGGGGAGCAAACAGG
rnacentral:rRNA from 1 species